UGCACUUGGCAGUCGCCGUCAUUCGUCCCUAUCGUCCCUAGGUACACGCACGACUCAAGCAGCAGUCGUGAGACGCCGCCCUCCAUCCAUCGCCCCAGAUCCACCCCUUCGCCGCCGCCGCUUCAUCCAUUCGCCGCCGCCGUUCCAUCGCUCCACCGCGGAUCCAUCCCUUCAUCGUCGCCCCGCACAUCAAAGCCACCGCCCUCCAUCGGACCAUCCCCGUUUAGGACCCGCCGCGGAUCACGUCCAGGAUCCUGAAUUCUCGUUGGACCAAGGCGGCGUCCACCACGUCAUGGUGUUAUGCUAGCGGCGAUUGGGAGGCGAUCCGGGCUGCUAGGGUUUAACCAUGACCUGAUCAUGGUGGCGCCGGAGCAUGUGAGGUGAGCGCUGCCGGACUCGUCCGCCUCGCCAUCACUGAUGAUCGAGUCGGCUCUGGCCACGUCCCUCUCCGGAUGGCUGUGAUGAUGGAGGGAACCGCCAUCACUGCCAGGCUCUCCACCCAUGGACGCGUCGGGUCGCUGCUCGGGGCCAGCCCCCCGUUGUGCUAGAUCGCGCCUCGGCUUCAGCAGCCUGACCGUAGGGGCGAAGCAACAGCACACUCAUACAGCAGGGAUCAGGAAUUUGGUAUGCAUGAAGAUUUGACUGUGGUUGGAAGAAAUUGUUGAACAAUUCCAUGAACCACAUAUGAUGGCACCGCCGCGAGAUUCCCAAGGGCAGCAAGGUCAUGUAUGAGUUGGACAAGAAGACGAGGCUCAUCAAAGCCAACCGCGUCCUCCACUCCUCCACGGCCGGCCCACACAACUCAUCCUCUGUCUUCAGCAGUUGUGCAAGAGAGAUCGCGGUGACAAGUGAAAAACAAAGAUGAUUGUACAUCCUUGCUCCUUUUCUUCUUUCAGCAUUACACACGUAGCAACAUCAUUCUCGCCAUCCAUCCCACAAUGACAAGAGCCUUUCUAGAGCACAAACCAGGGCAAUAUCUUCCGCUUAGAUGUUCAUUUUCAUUUUAAUUCACAACUUUUCCAGAAGGAUCAACCUAAUCCGUGAUUUCUGUUUCUUUUUCAGAUCUGCUAUUCGGUAACAUGAUUUGGUGUGAUACUAGCUGACCAUUAAAAUCUGGUUUAGAUUUCAGUCCCAAUUUUUAUGAUAAAAUAAUAGUCAAUGUUCAGAUGCACUAUUGUGGUCUUUCAUCAAGUUGAAACCCAUUUUGAAGUUUCAAUAUCCCUUGAAUUCUUAAUGAGUGGAUGUUGAGGAGUAGUCAAUGUGUUCUGUUUCAUGUAGGUGGAUGCGGUUAUGGUUAUGGUGGCGUACAUCUGGGGCAUUUAACGGUUUAUGUGUGCAGAUACAAGAGGCAGAUUAAUGAUCAUGUUAAGGAGCAUGUUGAUGUUGCUGAGGUAUGCCCCCCACCUCUUGAGAAUAUUGAUGACACUAUGAUCUCUUGAUGCCAAUUUCUUCAGUUCGUCGAUCACAUAAUUUUUGGUGCAAAAUGCCUGAAGCUUAUGACAUGGGUGAAGGUGUUAAUCAAGAAUAGAGAUUCUCAGUAGCAAUGCAGCGAUACAGUUAUGUAUGUCCUUCUACAUGACAAUAUGAGACUCUAUGUAAUUUCCUCUGAACUUUUUUAAACAUAUUAUUUUUUUAAAUUUGCUAGACAAGCAGAGAUCCUAAGGCCAAAGAUAAAAUGAAUCCUUUUGCUGAACAGGAAGCAUGGGAAGAACAUCAAAUAUGUAAUGUUGUUUACUUGGAUUAACCACAUGCAAUCGGUAUUGCGACUGUCUUUAUGAUACCAUAUGUAUGCUCUUUGUUGUAUAUUUAGCAAUUGGUCGACUUGAUUCAGGAAAGUCAAAACUGGAAUUUGGAUCAGAAGAUAGAAAUCGGUCUUCUAAUGAAUGCCGGUUGUACAAGAGCAGCUCUGAUGCUCAGUGGAGGUCCUGAUGUAGUUGAUCUUGGAAGUUCUGAUGCUUGGUGGAGCCAUUCUUGCAGGCUGAAAUUCUGUAUUUUUCUGCAGGUUGUACAAGAGCAGCUCUAAUGCUCGGUGGAACCAUUCUUGGUUAUUAUCCUGUCAGAGUUCUGCCAUCUAAGACUCCAAUUUUUUUCCUUUUGACCCUAAGUUUCUUCCUUGAGUAAGUAAAAUUAGACUACACACGAGGGUGAGGAGACGAAGUUGGAAGGAGAGAGCACAUGGGCAAUUGAGGACUAAAGGAUAACACUUAAUCUUGCUUUUCUAUAUUCUUGGUUCCAAGUACAAAUUACAUUCAGUUCAGGUGCAAGUAGUCUUAUAGAUAGAUAGAGAGGUGGGUUCUGAUUUGUGGAUGAUUUUGAUAAUGGUAUGUUUUUCCAUGAUUGCUGUCAUUUUGUUGUCCUACAUGUGUCCGUGCGUUGGGAUAGUAUGAAGAAAAGUUGCAGCUAUCCAUACAUCAUUAUUUAUGGCAGAAGGGAAAUAUACUGAAUCAUAGUCACAUUUCCUAAAACUCUCGAAUUCCAACUUAGCGGUGUUGAUGACCAUGAUGAAACUGUGAAAUAUUAAGCGGUACUUUUCCAUUGAUUUUUUCAUUCUCAUCGUAUCAUUGAUGUGAUUGUGUGACUCAAGUUUUUAUUUCCCCCUCACCUUUUAAGUUCAAAGUAGUAUUCAGCAAGUUGUUGUGUCGAAUAUAAACCUUUGAAACACUUGCUACAUAAAGGUUCAGUUGUAUCAUCAAUAAUGCCAAUGCUUCUGGUUGCUGUUGCUGGCUCCUAACAGCAAAAUCAAGUCUGGAAACACGUAUGGUAAUGGUGUAACAAAAAAAAUCGAGAGAGGUUUUGAGUAUGCUUUGUUAGCUAUGACACUUUGAUUUAGCUUACUUUGCUAGGAUACCAGAACUAGCACUCUACGAGCGAAAUAAUUUAUUUAUUUUGCACCGUUGUCAAAUUAUUACUUUGUAUUCCUGAAAAUUUAAUAUAACUGAAUGUGGUGAAAUGCAGUGAAAAUAUUGUUGAUUUUGAUUUAAAAAUGGUUAAAUUGGAAGAAAGCAUUUCCGCUACAUUCAUCAGCAACACUGCACCAUAUACUAUAGAACCUUGGGCCACUAAAUCAGGUGUUUCCGAUGGAUCUUCUUGGACUCAACAGUAUCAAUCUACUUCCCACGCAUGUGGUUUAUUUUAUUCUUCAGCUUAAUGGAAAACCAUGGUAAGUUCAGUUUUACCUUUAGGGUGUUGUCAAAAUGAUUUCAAUGAGACCAAUUAAGUGACUAGCCUAUGGAAAAAUGAUGAUCUGUUGUUAAAAUAAAAUAAAAAUAGAUAAUUGAGUAAUAAAUUUUGUUUUUCUAAAGCAGCUAGCCUAGAAUGUUCAUUCGUGAAAGAUAAUACCGUUUGAAGAAAUCGUGGGAACGCGGUGCGGGAGCUGCUCCGUCCCGAGGGACGCACGGCGGUGAUCGGGCUAAACGCAGCGGACACAUCAUAGUGGGAGCCGGGGGAGUUGUUGUUGACCUGGUCUCGAGGCGGGCAGGUACAAGUGGAGCAGUGACCAUAUCAGCUUUGUGGCAGCGACCAGGCAACCAAGGAGGAGUGGAGUAGCACCUAGAAGCGGCGGCCAGAUAGAGAAGAUUCCUGUCGAUGGCAAUGAGCGAAGGCGAUCAGCACGACUCGGUUCUGGUGUGCUAUAUCAGUUUAAUUUGUUGGUGUGUUAUCGACCAUAGAUUUUGGCAAAAUAUUAUAUACUCAUCAUUGCUACCGUUUUGGUGCAAGAGGAGAUAGUUAUAGAUAUGUUUGGUGCCAUAUAUUUGCCAUUCUUGAUUUGUCUGCUGAUUAAUGAGAUGGUGUAGAAGGCAUAGAUGGCAAUUAUUGCAAUGAGGCUACAACAUUAAGACUAGACCAGGUUGUAGCAUUGAAUGAAUGAAGUUUGACAUGAGAGACUCUGUAGCAGUAUUUGGCACAAUAAAAUAUUUGCCCAAAUAAUCAACCCUCUGUGAGUAGAUGUACUUCAUUUUUUGGUUUUAUCAGCAACCUCUUUGUUUUAGUGUAUUUGUUAAUGAUUCCCUUUCUCGCAGGAUCAUUUUGUCAGUGCUACAUGUAAGAAGACAAUUGAGGAGUGUUCGACGGUGUUUUGUGCAUUGCUACAUAAAAUAAUAAUUUUAUUUUCAAUGAGUUUUAAUGCAGGUUAUCUAUGCAAAGGUAAGUGGUUAAUAAUACAAAGGCAAAAUGAUAUUGCAUGGCACAUGCCCGCACGUACUUAAACAGGCACAUGCAUGAAAUCAUGGUGUAACUACUACAUGUGCAUGCACACACAUGUCCUAGCAGUGGGCAUCUUUAGUCUAGACACGUAGCUUAGCUUAGACACAUAUAAAUAGUUAUGUAUUUGAAUACCGGCAAGCUCGCGUUACAUAUCCGAAUACCCGUUUGUAUGCAUACAAUGUAUUUGAGUAUCUACAGCCGGUGAGCGCGCACGCAUACUUCUCCGAAUACCCGAUAUACAUGUACUUCGUUUCCUUGUUUUGGUAUUUGGACAGGUACAUGAAAUAUGGGCGUGUCUUCGAUGGGUGCAAUCUAACACAUAGUACGUGACUGUUAUCAGAUGAUAGGGUCACGUGAGCAGCCUAUGUACGUAUAUUUGGCAAGCCAUCAAAAAUUGGAAACGGAUACAACCGACCACGGGACCACAUAAAAAAAGGUACGCGCCAACUAACAUGGUAUAUAUGGGGUUGAUCAUUUCCUUUUAUCUGUAUAGACUUGGACGUCAAGACAAACAAUAGAAGGAAAUAUUAGGAUGGUGCAACCCUACCCGUCCAACACCGCAGCCUAUAUAAGCUAGCCAACCAAGGCACCAGAAGAGAGGAGCUAGUUAGCAUAGCUGGUGCAACAACAAACGCAGCCGAGGAGAUGGCCCGGCCGUGACCGCGCGUUCGUAGGCACCAGAUGUGAUGAGCCCAGAAACGCCGGCCACAACGGCAGCCUGCCCACGGCGAGGAUGUAGGCGCCCGAGGAGAUGAUGAAACGGGAGCUGAUCAAGCCCCGUUGACUAACUUUAUUUGUUAUUGUGUAUUUCAUCUAUCAGGUGCCGCACAUCCAUCCAUCAAGCAGCAGCAAAGCUACGCACACGUCCCUGGCCAGAAACUCACGCACGCACCGGGCAGGGACGUGCCUGUUGGCGGCGUCAAACCCAAGUGCAAAGGAGGACGUGCUCACAGCGGCGUGGUGGCCGGUAGGCCACCGGCCACGGCGUGCUAGAGGAUGCGUAGAGGACGCCGCUGACAGCAGGUGCACUAUGACAUGGAGGUGAGCUUAGAUGCAUGCACGUGCAACAACCCUCUUGGUACGUACAGUCUUUUUCUUACCAGGUUCUAUGGAGGAGGAGGAGACACGCCCGUGGCGGCGUCGCCAAAUUGGAACUCAAUCACGAAGGAGAACGCGCCUGCGAUGGCCGCGUAGGCCCUGUCUUGUGGCGACGAGCAUGCCGCGGAGAUGACAAGGCGCACACAAGGAGGAGGCACAGGAGGAAGCAGAAGACGCGUCGUGGCGGCAACAUCGAGAACAUCAGGAAAGCCCCGCCCAUGGCGGCGGCACGCUCGUCGGGCAACAUGCACACGGCCUAGCGCUGUCCGGUGGCGGCAGUGCAUGCGCCAAGAAGGAUCCGCGGAGGCUAGAUACGUACAUCUAUAUCUUUUUUUGUAUGCAGGAGCCACAAACACAUCUCAACCCGAGGAGGUAGCAGCGAUAGAGAGCAUGUACCGGCUGGGUUGAAGUCGAGGUCGCCAUGUACCCAUGCGCCCACAUACAACGUUUCGACCAUAGACGACGCGCCCAUGGCAGUGGCGCGCUCACCAGGCAUCAAGCAUGCUUCUUGGCUCUGUCCAGUGGUGGUUGUAACGAGGCGGAGCAUGCGAGAAGGAAAACACGGAUGAACCCACGCGGCCGUAACAUCACCUCACGCAUCCAUCAGGCCGGCUGGUACAAGUGCAAGGAACCCCGGCGGCAGCAACAUGAACAUGAAGCUCACGUUCCCCUACGGUGAGAUGAUUGUCUAAUUUUUCUUUCUUCUGUUUCUCCCUCACAUCCAGCAUGCAUGCACUAUACACGGAGAGUACGUACCCAAUCCCGCCGUCGUCGGAGGCGAUUUCACCGGACCAGGAGUCUACACCGACACCGUCAGACUUUGUCUAUGUCAAGCUCUUCGUCUUCAAGCGUCGUGUUCUUGGUUGAAGAUGACCCAGGAGCAGCCGGAGCUCGGCAACGACCCAGCCCAACCGCUAGCCCUGGUGCUCCUACGGCGGCCUACCCGGCCCCGACGAACAGGUCACGACGCACAGAUCAUGGCGAACAGGUCUCGAUGAACAGGUCCAUGAUGUUCCAAUCACGGUGUACAGACUCCGAUGCACCGGUCCUCGGCGAACAGGUCACUGGUGCAUAGGUCCAUGGUGUCCCGAACAGGUCUCGCGCCUUGCUUCCCAGAGGAGACGACAUGGCGGAGCCGGAGCUCGCGACGACGUAGCCCGAGACAAGUCCAUGACGAACAGGUCUCUCCGGUGCACAGGUCCAUGGCGUUACGAUCACGGUGGACAGGUCCAUGGCGCCCCGGACAGGUCUCGCGCCUUGCUUCUUGGAGGGGACGAUGUGGCGGAACCGGUGCUCACGACGAUGCAGCCCGAGACUGUCCCACCUAUGAAAGUGCACCCACUAUCGCGAACAGGUCCUUGGCGUACAGGUCUCGGCGUGCUACUUGUCUCGGUAAACCACCGAAUACGGCGUUUAGUCGAGACGAGGCACCCACAAUGGCGGACAGGUCCUCUACGUAUAGGACUCGAUGUACAGGUCCAUGGCGCCCCUGGCGUAUGGGUCCCCUUUUGGUGUAGCACCCACCCAAGGCAAUGAAACCUCUACAACAUUUCUUCACGAGUUCGCCGGGUGGCACCCUUGACAAAAUGGACUGCCAUAGACUUGGCGUUCAAUCAAGUGAGACACACCUAUCACGGCGCACAGGUCAUUGGUGAACAGCUUCCGGCGUACAGGUCCAUGGCGUCGCCGGUAUACAGGUCCCCUUUCUAUGGCCAUGUGAGGUGGCAUCCUUUUCCUUGGCGGACCGCCGUAAACUCGGCGUCCAACCGAGACGAGGUGCCAACCACACCGGCAUUGCAGAUAUGAGCGAGCGUUGGUUUUACAUCGACGCUGGUCUCCAUAAAAGAUUACUCCCGUGAGGCAACCCCUUGCAUACCCGAUGAAGCCGCUACAUCGUCAAGAAGUCCGAGCUGAGCAGGACCCAUGCAACUUCAACACCAACUACAUCGACGCUGUCAAGACUGACGAGGCGCGACGGCGAGGGCGAACAUGGCCAGCACAAAGCCAUGUUUUGAGCGGCACGUGUACCGACGAGGACACGAGCUUUGCCGCCGCCCACACCAUACACUCACACCAUCAUCAUCAUGCAUGGAGAAUGCGAAGCAAAGACGACGAAGGCGACCACACGGCUUAAUCGAAGGUAUCUCGCGGAGCAACCCGCUGGAGUAAUUAACCGGGAGCUUUUUGAGGCCCCGGAAACCAGGAGACCGCACAUCGCCAUAGUCAGGCAGGCCGCGCUAGUAGGCCACGGAGCGCAACCAUUUUUUAUGGGAUCUUGUAAUU